rnacentral:lncRNA from 1 species
UACCAAAUUAUUUGUAAAAAGUCUUUUUGAACAGCUAUAAAAUGUUUAAAAACUGUGGCAGAUGCAGUUAUCACACAUCCACUUGAUAGUGAAAGCAGAAACCCAACAAGUUUUACCUAAUUCUUGCACUGAAUUUAAAUAAUAUAAAGUUAAGUUAAAUGUGCAUUUUAAACAGAAUUUAUUUCUCAUUUAUUGGUUAGCAUAGAACAAUGCUUAGUGUUAGAGAGUUGAUCACAAGAUUGGUUUUAGAAGGAAGACGGUAAGAAAGCAGAAGCACCUUACUGGGGAGCAUGUUGCAUUCAUUUAGUGCUACUGAACAAUUCAGUAGUGAUUUCUGAACUUUGCUGCAAAGUGCUCUUUAUUUAAAGCACAUAAAAAGAGUCUCUGCUUAAUUGCUUUGUAAAGUGAAGCAAUGGUAUUUUUUAUCCUAUAAAUAUAGUCUAAUUUAAAAGUUUUUCCUACAAAAUGAGUUUAUAUUGCCGCCUAAACUAUCAUCUAUGUAAACAAAGGAUUUUUUAAAAGGCGAGAGAGGGAGUCUGGAUUGUGAGAACUCUUGAAGCAGCUUGUUGUGAGAGUAAGGAGGAAGUUUGGGGUUUUCUGGUCAGGUGUGACUAAGAGAGGCUCCAAUUGGUGAGUUCAGGAAAGUCUCUGGAAAGUGAUUUGAGAUGUAUAGAAAAGGUAUGGGUGUUGGUUAAAGAGUUCAGUUUUAAGAAGGGAAGUUUUGUUUUUUAAACUUGCAUGUUCUAUGGUUAACUAUC